UCGCAGCAGGCAUGUGUGCCUGGGUUUGUUACCAGCAGCCAUUUUCUUACCCUUAAAUGAGGGAUGUGUCUACCCUUUUCUUUUUCUCAUUUUCCUAGCGGUUACAAGAUUCCUGUUUUUCUCACCAGGAAGAGAGUUCAUCCUCAGUGAGCUCAUAGCAGUCCUACAUUGCCAGUGUUUUUCCUCAAGUGGAAGGAGAAAGGCCUUCAGAAAAAAAAUCUUAUGCAAACCUAGUGCUACCACCAGCAGUAGCUCUGAAUCAAGAUUUUUGGGAGAAUUAGGCUUACUAAAGAUAAACUACAAUAAGUCUCAAGGAGGCAAAUAAUUCUAAUUCUAAUGAGGAAUUCAAGAAUAAAGGCAGCUCUUAAGAUCAAGUACUCUGACUAGAAAAUAUCCUCAUAUUUGAUGGAAGACAGCAUGAGACGGAGAACCAAGUUCCUUAAAGUACGGACGUGAACUGUCUGUGGGUGACUUGCCUGGAUGCCGGCUAUAGCUGCAGCCCCCAAAGUCGAAGCUACCAGAACAGGUUGGAUGAGGAUGGCCCAAAGAUUAUGGAGUUGCUGGCCCCAAAGCAAG
rnacentral:antisense_RNA from 1 species